rnacentral:rRNA from 1 species
AUUUGAGGAAGGAAAAAACGAACCAAACCUUGCAAGUACUUUGGGUGACCGUUCAGGCCAUUUGUCGUCUAACUCAAAUGGGCCUCACCCCACAACUAUAGCUUGAAUCAAAACCAAGGAAUCUUCGAGACAGGGUGUUUGGAAAGUUUGGUGGUGUGAACAAGAAGUAAAAAGUGUGGAUAUGUUUAUUUUUUAUAUGAGGGAGACAAGGUCUCAUAUCACGUGUAUUCAAAAACCGUAUAAGGUAUGACAUCACGCAUUAUCGUCGGCGUUGGCUAAAACCUGCUUUUAUCGGAACGGAAUAGGGGAAGGAGGGCGUCGUCAUAGUGCUACUAACUCCUGGUGGCGCCGACCUUGCUGCGUAGAGGGAGCGGCGGGAGAAGGAGGGGUGUUGGAGACCCGCCUGUCGCCACGAGGUCACUCGAGACCUAGUUGGAGGAGAGGAGACACGGCUGCUCUAGGUCCUCUAUCGCUACUGCUCCACCAGUUUUCGCACUACAUACCUGUGGGUACUGGGUACCUGCAGCCAGUCUCGCGUGGUAGCGGGCGGACACUCUCACUCGGUGAGGCUCGUGAGGCGGUAAGCGGGUAGGUGGAACGUACCCACGGUUAGCUGAAGGAGUUCGUGGCCGACGGAGAAAGAGCCAGAAGAGGAGGUUGUGGCCACUCGUCGAGGGGCGACCCAAGUUCCAGCUACGGUUGCUCCGACCCGCUAGGAACCUGUACCUCGCCGUCGUGCGGCCGCGGUUGAAGUAUACGUCAUCGCCGUCGCCGAGUGUCCACCGUCUCCGCGGAAGGUGCGGGUACCGGCUACCGAGGCGUAGUCGGUACCGGCCGCAGAGGUGCAGGUCGUGCAGGUACCACCGCGACGGCGCAAGAACCGACGUGGAGGCGAAGGGACCGGCCUAAACGAACGACCAGCACCUGCGAACGCAGUACACUUUGUCUCUUCCGGCCUCAUGUCGUAUGAUGAUGAAGAACGUGCACCCGACCCCUGAAAGAGCAGGUUUUAAAUCGCGGUCGUGUAUGUAACCAUGGACCAGAUCUUUGAUACGCGUGAUGUUAGACCUUACCUCCCUCAUGUACAAUUAUAGUCCUUUUUCUUUCGUUGGCCAAAAAGGAAACUGCCAAUUUGUACGACAAAUCAAGAAAAUCGAUACUGAUUCUAAUGAACGAAAACGAGCUAUCAAAUUUGAAAAACUACUCAAGUAAACACGUACUUUAAACUACACCAUCGUAAACCGUUGAGUACCACAUUCUGAAGCCACCCAUAACCAAUUCACCCCUCCAUUCUCGUAUAAUUUCACACUCGUCCUCACGGAUGGAAAGACGUUGUCUAAUUCGGUACACUUAAUCCUGUACAACUAACACGAACCAAGUGUUCUCCACAUUAUAAAAAAAAAACAAAGGAGUCGCGAUUUGGCUUUUCCUGUAAUUGUAGCUUCGAGAACUAACGUGAUGAAGCGAUACCUCCUCAAUUUCUUCUCAAGAAAUACCUCGAAGAUCUUUUACGUUAACUUCCCCGAUUCUGGCGAGUAACACUAAUACUUCUGCGUGAUUUGUAACGUAAACAGAUACGCCUGUACCUCCUAAGCUAUAGUCGUGCUUACUAAAACAGACCUUAAGGUGAUCUUCUACGUAUAAACGUUAGGUCCGACCGAUAGUACCGAGUUGUUCUUUCUUUCCCUUAGUUCGUUCCUUUCGAUGGUUAGUCACUAACGAAAAUAAACUACCCAUGUUGUCUAGGAUGUCCCUUUGAGUUUCGGUUACUUCAAACACACUAGGAACUCUUACCUGGUAUAACACCUUUACACGAACAGAUAUUUGUAGGACCCAAUGUAAAACCACUAUAUGUACAGAACUGUAGUUCUAUAUAGUUCCUAUAUGUUCUGCGUCAUCCUAUAAGUUCUAUACGAUAUGAAAAGGGAUGGAGACCGGGUGCUAGAAACCGGCUACUCUACCGGUUAUCACUAAAACUACCCCUGUACAUAACCCAGAGUUAUUUACUUGUCAAUAAUUUCGUCAAGUUCGGAAGAUUUGGUACCCUUACCCCGGUUCAUUUAUUUGGUCAUGUCCGGCUCUUUUUCACAGAAGACCUAAAUCUGCUUGGGGAUGAGCUCUCCUCAAACAAAGUACUUAAGAAUUUUCGUUCUAAACGUGCGUCAUUACGCGAACCGUGUCGUCGACUAUCAACCAAUCAUAUAUACCUGGCUGACAAUUGUCUACCACAACUACUUCUACUUUCAUUACAUGAUCUUUUUUUCUAUUUCUUCAACCAACUAGAAAUAAUAAACCGGGACCUGCGAGGUUUCCGGCCCUGGUUCUAGUUACAGGGACGACUCGACUGUGGUUUUUUCAUAGGCGUGAUGUACCUAGCUUUCCUUUCGAUGGUAAGUUGUAGGUAUGAUCCUUUUUAAAUACUGCUUCGUCUUUUUUUCGUUAGACUCUUUCAACUUGGUCAGCUCUAUAACAACCUGGGCACAAAGUGCCUCUCUCGUCGUAGAAGUCCUAUGUUCAUGGACUUGGAGACCCGUCCGGCGAUAGUCCUCAUGAACUCGCUCUCACCCGGUGACUAACUGUUAGUCCUGUUCCUUCUUUGUCUGGACUUCAAGUUUCUUGAGAUGGUUUUCAUGUUUAUGUACGAGAUGCUACGGCGACUUAAGCUCGUUUGGGUCUCCUUGGAGCUGCUUCACAAGCUGCUCCGGACGUGCUAGAUGGUCUAGCAGAUGCUCUUUCGUCGCUCCAAGUUCUUCCGACCCUCUACGCCGAAGCACACCUUGCACCGCCCGGCACGCGACACGGCAAAGAUGCGAGAGCUCCGGUUCCCGCUGUUCCACGAGCAGGGCAACUGCCAGCGAGCCUUGGAGUGCUUCUUCGCGGCAUCCAUCGUCGCUGCACUGCCCGACGACACUGAAACUAGCUGAGGCACAACAUAUUUCAUCCGCAGACAACACCGAGCAUUAUUGUCCACACCUGCAAAGUUUGGCUACCCAACUGACGUCCGACAUAAAUAAGCAUGGACGGAGUUCGAACACCACACACACACACGCGAGCUUCACGCGCAACAUAACGGUGGUUCUUAGGGUGAACAUAAGUCUCUACCGUACAGUAGAGGGACAAGCAACGCAUAGGAGACACAUUAGAAGAGUCUUGGAAUUGCAAUUACGUUACGUCACAUCGGUCUAUGUUACAGUGCGACGUUAGACCACAACGAACAAAGCCAACGAGAUCUUAAAACAAAAAUACCUGCUAA